rnacentral:rRNA from 1 species
UGCGUAGGCGGCUAGGUAAGUGGGCUGUGAAAUGCCUCGGCUUACCCGAGGAUCUGCAAUCCAUACUGCCUGGCUUGAGUACGGGAGAGGAUGAGGGAAUUCCUGGUGUAGCGGUGAAAUGCGUAGAUAUCAGGAGGAACACCGGUGGCGAAGGCGCUCAUCUGGCCCGAUACUGACGCUGAGGCGCGAAAGCUAGGGGAGCAAACG